AGUGAACGCUGGCGGUAGGCCUAACACAUGCAAGUCGAACGGCAGCACAGUAAGAGCUUGCUCUUACGGGUGGCGAGUGGCGGACGGGUGAGGAAUACAUCGGAAUCUACUUUUUCGUGGGGGACAACGUAGGGAAACUUACGCUAAUACUGCAUACGACCUACGGGUGAAAGCAGGGGAUCUUCGGACCUUGCGCGAUUGAAUGAGCCGAUGUCGGAUUAGCUAGUUGGCGGGGUAAAGGCCCACCAAGGCGACGAUCCGUAGCUGGUCUGAGAGGAUGAUCAGCCACACUGGAACUGAGACACGGUCCAGACUCCUACGGGAGGCAGCAGUGGGGAAUAUUGGACAAUGGGCGCAAGCCUGAUCCAGCCAUACCGCGUGGGUGAAGAAGACCUUCGGGUUGUAAAGCCCUUUUGUUGGGAAAGAAAAGCAGCAGGUUAAUACCCCGCUGUUCUGACGGUACCCAAAGAAUAAGCACCGGCUAACUUCGUG
rnacentral:rRNA from 1 species